GGGGAGCGCGCGGCGGGGCGGGGCGCGGGGAGCCGUGAGGGGAGAGCCCACCCCUGGCGGGCCUCGGGGGUGUCUCCGCGGGGCAUCCAGCGUUUUGGGCGCUCUCAUAGUUAUGAGAGAAGACAGGAUUUUCCCUCUCUCAUUGCAGUUUUACAGAUCUGUGGCUACCACCCCAUGGAAGUUGGGCUGCACUUCAGGCUGUGUGUGAAGGGACUGUGGAGCCUGCCAUUCCCAGAUCCUUGUCCAGGGAAUGCUGCUGAGGAUGUGGUGUGUCCCUGUACAACUUUAAAUCCCCCUGCUGCUUUUAGAGGAAUGAGGCAC